rnacentral:pre_miRNA from 1 species
CUACUACUCCCUCCGUUCCGAAUUACUUGUCGCAGGUAUGGAUGUAUGUAGAUGUAUUUUAGUUUUAAAUACAUCCAUUUCUGGGAUGAGUAAUUUGGAAUGGAGGGAAUAGUAC